rnacentral:rRNA from 1 species
GACGAACGCUGGCGGCGUGCUUAACACAUGCAAGUCGAACGGUGAAGCGCCUUCCUUUUUGGUGGGUGUGGAUGAGUGGCGAACGGGUGAGUAACACGUGAGUAACCUGCCCCCUUCUUCUGGAUAACCGCAUGAAAGUGUGGCUAAUACGGGAUAUUCUGGGUCUGUCGCAUGAUGGGUCUGGGAAAGAUAUUGUUUCGGUGGGGGAUGGGCUCGCGGCCUAUCAGCUUGUUGGUGGGGUGAUGGCCUACCAAGGCGGUGACGGGUAGCCGGCCUGAGAGGGUGGACGGUCACACUGGGAAUGAGCCACGGCCAAGACUACUACGGGAGGCAGCAGGGGGGAAUAUUGCACGAUGGGAGGAAGCAUGAUGCAGCGACGCCGCGUGGGGGAUGGAGGCCUUCGGGUUGUGAACCUCUUUCGCCAGUGAAGCAGGCCUGCCUCGUUUGUGGGUGGGUUGACGGUAGCUGGAUAAGAAGCGCCGGCUAACUACGUG